GUCCGCACCGUAACGAUGAUUACUCGUUGUUGGCGAUAUGACAGUCAGCGACCAAGCGAAGCGAUAAGUAAUCCACCUGGGAGUACGCCGGCAACGGUGAACUCAAGGAAUUGACGGGCCCGCACAAGCGGAGGAGCAUGUGGUUUAAUUCGAUGAUACGCGAGGAACCUUACCUGGGCUUGAAAGUUAGCGACCGGUCCUGAAAGGGAUCUUCCAGCAAUGGCGCGAAACUAGGUGCUGCAUGGCUGUCGU
rnacentral:rRNA from 1 species